UUGAUGAACGGCUGUAGAAAUCUUACAGGAGGCAGAAUGUCCUGAUUCCUUGAAGAUGAACACAUGUGGCUGGAUUCUGUGGAGGAAAAUUAAGCUGUGAACUGGAAUUCCAUCAGGCUGUCUACUGUGAAGCCCUGUGGCUUUAGCAAAGGGGCAGCAGUGGUCAGAAAUGACACUCAAAAGAUAACUACAGUGAAACCCUAUAGCAUUCCCGAGCUUCCAAAGAGCAGACAGCCUUGCAGUCUAAGCACCAC